rnacentral:rRNA from 1 species
UACGUAGGGGGCAAGCGUUGUCCGGAAUCACUGGGCGUAAAGGGCGCGUAGGUGGCUUGUUAAGCGUGUGGUGAAAGCCUGGGGCUCAACCCCAGGUCUGCCGUGCGAACUGGCAAGCUUGAGCGUAGUAGAGGCAGGUGGAAUUUCGGGUGUAGCGGUGGAAUGCGUAGAUAUCCGAAAGAACACCGGUGGCGAAGGCGGCCUGCUGGGCUACUGCUGACACUGAUGCGCGACAGCGUGGGGAGCAAACAGG